rnacentral:rRNA from 1 species
GUCAGAUGUGAAAUCCCGGGGCUCAACCCCGGAACUGCAUCCGAUACUGCCGUGCUAGAGGACUGGAGAGGCAACUGGAAUUCUCGGUGUAGCAGUGAAAUGCGUGGAUAUCGAGAGGAACACUCGUGGCGAAAGCGAGUUGCUGGACAGUAUCUGACGCUGAGGCUCGAAGGCCAGGGUAGCGAAAGGG